UAGGCGAGCCGAGCGGCCCGCCCGGGCGGGAGCAUGCGCCGUCGGGGCUCCGUUGGGUCCCUCCCUGGAGCUCGCGGUGGUCGGAGAGCUGUGACCUCACCCAGGCUUUGGGAGGAGUCUGAGGGGCAGGCAGCUUCCGGGGCGGGGCUUCGCGUGGGCUCCAGGGAGGGCCGACGCCGACAGCCAGACUGGGACGCUGUCUGUCCAAGUUAAGUGUCUGAACACGGCGGCCAGCUGAGAGACGUAGGCUACUGGUGGCUACUCAACGUUGAGUGACUUCAGGGAGAGGAACAAUUGUCUCCUCAUCCCAACUAGAGCUCCAACCACGGACAAAAGAAAGGAUUCCAUCUUGUCUAGCCUGCGCAUCCCUUGCCCCUUGCCCGUCCCGAGGCAGCUCGACCGAGGGCUUCUUCCCUUUGUUUACCGAUUGUAUAAACUGGCAAGGGGAAUCUUGGUGAAUCUUCUAACUUCCCCAUACCUCAAUGCUUCUUUUCUUUUUAAACUAAUUUUAUUGCAUUCACUUGAGUGAGCAUUGGCUGGAGUCAGAGGACCACCUUUGCCAGUCGCCUCCUAAUAUCUGGAUCCUGGGGAUAGAAAUCUGAUUGUGGGAUUUGGUGGCCCUUACCCAGUGAACCAACCAUCUUAUUGGGCCCUCAAUAACCUUUCUUGAAUUUCCUGAAGAGAUCCAGGUUCAGUUCCUGACACCCACCAUGUGGCCCCCAACCACUCCAACUCAGUGGAACCAACACCCUACUUUGUCUACUUCAGGCACAUACACAUACACGCAGGGAAAAAACACAAAUGUAUUUUUAAAAUAAAACUUUUAUGGUGGUGCACACCUUUAAUCCUAG